GUGUCGGGGACUGCUGGGUCUUUUUCUGACGGAGCGCAGCGGGGGGAAUUCGGGUUCUCCGGGUAAUGUUUCGGGUACUGUGGUGGGUUGGUCCUGCACAAUAGAGGACAGAGAAGAGUAGAGUAGAUUUAGAUCUGGAGUAACUGAAUCACUUCAGAAUGGAGAGCCAUAAGCACAAAGAAUUUAUUAAGCAGUGUAUCAUACACUGGAAAACAUCAAAAGAAGAUGAUGACCACUUAGUCCUCAAGACUAUGAAUCCUGGAAAACAUUACUUGAAGCAGCCAAGGUGAGAAUCUCUGCCCCUAUUUUAGACAUUGCUAAAGAACUUGGAGAAAGAAGUCCCAAGAAUCUCAAUCAUCAUGGCUGGCUUUGAGAAUGAAGACUUAGGAAGGGGGCUGCCCAUGUCUGCUACAGGCUUGCUGGCUGGUGGCUGACGAGGCCAAUACGAGACAGGCAGGCCCGGCCACAGCGGCUGCAAAAGAUAUUCUGUUCUGGGUUUGGUGCUGCUGUGUCACGGUUCUCCCUCCUCCUCCUUUUGUCCUCAAUGCCAGCCCUGCGUGCGUUCUACCCAGGAAUCUACUAUCACCGAAGAUGCUGAGGCUUCAUGAAGAGAGACUCUGAAAAGGAAAGCAUUACUGAUGAAGCUGGCACACUGAAUUUUGCCCUUGUGAAUGUGGAUGAAAAUGUGAGGAAGGCUGGGAUCAGGCACCUAAUGAGAAGAAUGUUUAAUAAAGUUGGAUGAGACUGGUACCCCAAUGCUCUAACAAGAGAGCAGUGUGAUCUUCAGGUGGGCUCCUGAACGAAGUGCAUUUGACUUCUUUUUGAAGCUGCCAACUUUUGACGUUCAGAGGCUGAAAUCAACAGUUCUGUUGAAUGUGUACUAGUAUUUUCUUGGUAUUUCACAUUUAAAUAAAAGUUUAUGUUGAA